AGCUCCUUCUCACGGUGGCGCGUGCACCCACGCGCCGCCAGUGGCGGUGGCGCGUGGGAAGACGCGCCGCCAGUGAUUUCUGCCCCAGCAGCCUUCCCGAGCACUGUUCCUGCGGUUCUAAAUGGACUUCCCUGCACUUCUUGGACUAUUUAGGGACUGUUUUGUAUUUUUAGAUUUGUUUAAUGUAAUUUGUUUAGUUUUGAUUUUUUUUGUAAUUUAUAUUUUUGUAAAUAUGGAUGUAAAAGAAAAGAAAAGAAAAAAGAAAAAA
rnacentral:lncRNA from 1 species